AUACCAUAUGAGGAUGCUAUGAGGAAAAGCUUUAGACUUCUUGGGAGAAAACUAAGUAAAUCUGAGGUGCAUGUAUUAUUUCAUACAGUUUUAAUCAGGAGCAAGUGAGCUUAAGAAACUUUGUUGAAUAAUAAAAAUAUGAAAAAAUGUGUUCAUUUAGAACAAAAGUUGUUAGCAUCUACUGUGGGAGGCUGCAGAAGCAAACAAAACUUGUCCCCUCAUCAAGGAGUUUACCAUCUGCUAAGGUGGAUGGAAUGUACCUGGGGAUCUCAAACUCAGAUGUCCCCAGGGGCCAGCAGGUGAUGUCAAGAGGUGAGCAAGAGAGAAUACUAACAGUUCCAAAUGUUAAUAAGAGCCCAGUUUGCCAGAUCUUCCUUUUUAUUCUCCAAGAAAGAUUGGAAAUCUGGAUUUUUGCAAGAAAUAUCCUACCACCUGUAAAUGUUGGCAAUGAUUUGAUUUUUUUUAAAAAAAUACUUAGCAUGCCCAACAAAAUUUGAGCAUGGGCUAUAUACACCCCUAAGGCCAUCAGCCAGCACUUGGGACCUUCUCUGCAUACAUUAUUUACACAGAGUGAAGUGUGCUGCAGGCUGUGACAUCUGACUUCAAAGGAGGGCAACAUGGCUUUAGGUGUGCUUAAACUCUAAAAUCAGACAGGCCCUGGUUAAAACUCUGUCUUCCAUUUAGAGCCACACUGACCUUGAGCAAAUCUCAACUUCCAAAGCCUUGGCUUCUGCAUUUAUAUAAUGGGAAUAAUAAUGUCUCCUGAGUAUAUUGAUUAUGAAGCUUAAAUGAGGUAAUGUUGAUGAAAUGUUUAACAAUGCUUGCUGCACAGUGAUCACAAUAAAUGCUGUUGCUGUUAAUACUAAUAACUUCCUUUCCACUUAAAGGAUACCUUAGGAAAGCCAGCUGCUAAGGAUGUCCAUCUUGUGGAUCACUGCAAAUACAAGUAAGAUUUGCAGGACUCCUCACUUUCUUGGUUUCCAUACUGCUUUUGAAAUAGCUUCACUUUGGGUGAGAACUUUAAUAUAAAGUCCCAGCUGGAGUAAAUGAAAGUUGCAUUAAUUCAUUUCACUGGCUUUUCCUCAGGGCCUAAAUGCACUGACCUGAGUUCUGUGGCGACUGUAGAGAAGAAUGGAACAUGGUUCCUGCUUCCAAACAGCUGCGUGCUAGCUAGUAAUCACAGUAAUGGAAUUACCUCUCCAUAUGCCCCACCCACCCAAUCGUUGAAGUUAGAAUAAAUAUUUCUCAGUUAAUAAAUAUUAGAAUUAUUAUCCUGGUGUGCUGGCAUGCUCCUGUAGUCUUAGCUACUCGGGAGGCUGAGGUAGGAGGAUCCUUUGAGCCCAAGAGUUCAAGACCAGCCUGGGCUACAUAGUGAGACCCUGUCUCUAAGAGAAAUAAAAUAAAAUUCUGGGACUAAGAAUUAGAUGAACAGGUAAAACCAGGUCUAGAGGAGGGCAGUGGUGGUGGGGGUGGCUCAGAGUUAGGAGUGCUAAUGACACACACAGUAGGAGCUAUAUGGUGAAAGCAACUCUGGUUGGCGACAGGUGCGUGCAUAAGAAAUGCUGAGAAGAAGACAGCUUUUUUUGUUUUUUUUUUUCCCCUGUGGGCAAUCUCUGAAAAUUGAUUAGGUUUUCCUCAUUCUCCUCUCUAUACCAGGGGUCCCCAACCCCCUGCCAUGGUACUGGUCUAUUAGGAACCAGGCUGCAUGGCAGGAGGUGAGCAGUGGGGAAGCGAGCUUUACCGCCUGAGCUCUGCCUUCUGUCAGAUCAGCCUUGGCAUUAGAUUCUCAUAGGAGCACAAACUGUAUUGUGAACUGUGUAUGCAAGGGAUCAAGGUUGCGUGCUCCUUAUGAGAAUCUAACUAAUGCCUGAUGAUCUGAGGUGGAACAGUUUCAUCCAAAACCAUCUCCCCCACACUACCCAUCCAUGGAAAAAUUGUCUCCCAUAAAACUGGUCCCUGGUGCCAAAGAGGUUGGGGACCGCUGCUCUAUACUUUAAGAGAAGAGGGUGAUGUCCAGGAAGCAGUGGAGACCUUCGACCAGAUGGGGUACACUAGAGGAAAAACAAGGCUUUGGGAGGCCAUGACUAGUUAGAGACAUUAGGCCUAGAAAAGCUUGUGAAAUUUUUUUCACUCGUUAUAUUUUAUGUUUACCAUUGAACAUUUAUUUUCUCAGAUAUGUUCCAAAUCUACAAGCUGUCAUUUCCUUCUGAGCCCUGUAUACACUCUACCCGGCACCCAGCUCCUGACCCUAUCUAGCGCUGUCUGGAGAAAAUAUCCCCUAUUUUUCCUCACCCUGCCAUUCCCAGAACAACCUGUAGUCCUAGCCCUGGUAAAGUGGUUGAUAGAAACCACUUAGGAACAUAUUAAUGUGUCCUUGAAAACUCAAAGUGGAAAGAGAAUGGAGAGGAAUCAUAAAAGGAAAGAAGGGGAGGGGAGAAUAAGCAUAAAAGGUCAUAUUUUUGGCAGCAGGCAUAUAGUAUCAAAUAUAUUUUGUUCUUUUUUCCCCAGGUAUCUGUUUAAUUUUCGAGGCGUAGCUGCAAGUUUCCGGUUUAAACACCUCUUCCUGUGUGGCUCACUUGUUUUCCAUGUUGGUGAUGAGUGGCUAGAAUUCUUCUAUCCACAGCUGAAGCCAUGGGUUCACUAUAUCCCAGUCAAAACAGAUCUCUCCAAUGUCCAAGAGCUGUUACAAUUUGUAAAAGCAAAUGAUGAUGUAGCUCAAGAGAUUGCUGAAAGGGGAAGCCAGUUUAUUAGGAACCAUUUGCAGAUGGAUGACAUCACCUGUUACUGGGAGAACCUCUUGAGUGAAUACUCUAAAUUCCUGUCUUACAAUGUAACGAGAAGGAAAGGUUAUGAUCAAAUUAUUCCCAAAAUGUUGAAAACUGAACUAUAGUAGUCAUCAUAGGACCAUAGUCCUCUUUGUGGCAACAGAUCUCAGAUAUCCUACGGUGAGAAGCUUACCAUAAGCUUGGCACCUAUACCUUGAAUACCUGUUAUCAAGCCAAAUACCUGGUUUUCCUUAUCAUGCUGCACCCAGAGCAACUCUUGAGAAAGAUUUAAAAUGUGUCUAAUACACUGAUAUGAAGCAGUUCAACUUUUUGGAUGAAUAAGGACCAGAAAUCAUGAGAUGUGGAUUUUGAACCCAACUCUACCUUUAAUUUUCUUAAGACCAAUCACAGCUUGUGCCUCAGAUCAUCCACCUGUGUGUGUCCAUCACUGUGAAAUUGACUGUGUCCAUGUGAUGAUGCCCUUUGUCCCAUUAUUUGGAGCAGAAAAUUCGUCAUUUGGAAGUAGUACAACUCAUUGCUGGAAUUGUGAAAUUAUUCUAGGCGUGAUCUCUGUCACUUUAUUUUAAUGUAGGAAACCCUAUGGGGUUUAUGAAAAAUACUUGGGGAUCAUUCUCUGAAUGGUCUAAGGAAGCGGUAGCCAUGCCAUGCAAUGAUGUAGGAGUUCUCUUUUGUAAAACCAUAAACUCUGUUACUCAGGAGGUUUCUAUAAUGCCACAUAGAAAGAGGCCAAUUGCAUGAGUAAUUAUUGCAAUUGGAUUUCAGGUUCCCUUUUUGUGCCUUCAUGCCCUACUUCUUAAUGCCUCUCUAAAGCC
rnacentral:sRNA from 1 species